UAUAAGGGAUUUUGAGUUUUUUCUUGCAACGUUUGACCACUCGUCUUAUUCAAAAUAUUUUAAAAUUAUUAUUUAUUUUAUUUGUGACUUACUUUAUUAUCUACAGUAUUUUAAGCACAACUUUUUAUUUUUUAUAUUUGCAAAAAAAAAUUGAAUAAGACGAGUGGUCAAACAUUGCAAGCAAAAACUUAAA
rnacentral:pre_miRNA from 1 species